rnacentral:lncRNA from 1 species
AUGCACUUCCAAAACUCCACCGGGAUCUCGUCAGGCCCGGUUGCUCGACCCCUACUCAUCCUGCGCAACGCCCCUGAGACCUCCUCCACCCUAAUGUGCCUGCAAUAUCCAAGGUCUCUAUGACGCUCUGAAUGCCCCAACUCCCCUAGCUCUAUGCUCGGAUCCCCCUCCUCGUUAAGAAGGUCCCGAAAGUACGCCUGCCACCUCUGUUUGACUUGCGNN